UUGCUCUUCAACGAGGAAUGCCUAGUAAGCGUACGUCAUCAGCGUGCGUUGAUUACGUCCCUGCCCUUUGUACACACCGCCCGUCGCUACUACCGAUUGAAUGGCUGAGUGAGGCCUUCGGACUGGCCCAGGGAGGUCGGCAACGACCACYCAGGGCCGGAAAGUUGGUCAAACUCSGUCAUUUAGAGGAAGUAAAAGUCGUAACAAGGUUUCCGUAGGUGAACCUGCGGAAGGAUCAUUACCUAGAGUUUGURGACUUCGGUCUGCUACCUCUUACCCAUGUCUUUUGAGUACCUUCGUUUCCUCGGCGGGUCCGCCCGCCGRUUGGACAACAUUCAAACCCUUUGCAGUUGCAAUCAGCGUCUGAAAAAACWUAAUAGUUACAACUUUCAACAACGGAUCUCUUGGUUCUGGCAUCGAUGAAGAACGCAGCGAAAUGCGAUAAGUAGUGUGAAUUGCAGAAUUCAGUGAAUCAUCGAAUCUUUGAACGCACAUUGCGCCCCUUGGUAUUCCAUGGGGCAUGCCUGUUCGAGCGUCAUYUGUACCUUCAAGCUCUGCUUGGUGUUGGGUGUUUUGUCUCGCCUCCGCGCGCAGACUCGCCUUAAAACAAUUGGCAGCCGGCGUAUUGAUUUCGGAGCGCAGUACAUCUCGCGCUUUGCACUCAUAACGACGACGUCCAAAAGUACAUUUUUACACUCUUGACCUCGGAUCAGGUAGGGAUACCCGCUGAACUUAAGCAUAUCAAUAAGCGGAGGA
rnacentral:rRNA from 1 species